rnacentral:rRNA from 1 species
GUGUCAGCAGCCGCGGUAAUACAGAGGGUGCAAGCGUUGUUCGGAAUUACUGGGCGUAAAGCGCGUGUAGGCGGCGAUGUAAGUCGGAUGUGAAAGCCCUCGGCUCAACCGAGGAAGUGCAUCCGAUACUGCUUUGCUUGAGUACCGGAGGGGAUGGCGGAAUUCCCGGUGUAGAGGUGAAAUUCGUAGAUAUCGGGAGGAACACCUGUGGCGAAGGCGGCCAUCUGGACGGUAACUGACGCUGAGACGCGAAAGCGUGGGUAGCAAACAGGAUUAGAAACCCGCGUAGUCC